rnacentral:SRP_RNA from 1 species
GCCGGGUGUGGUGGCACACGCCUGUAAUCCCAGCUACUCAGGAGGCUGAGGCAGGAGAAUUGCUUGAGCCCGGGAGAUGGAGGUUGCAGUGAGCCAAGAUUGCGCCACUGCACUCCAGCCUGGGCAACAGAGUGAGACUCUGUCUCAA